rnacentral:rRNA from 1 species
UGGGGAAUAUUGGACAAUGGGCGCAAGCCUGAUCCAGCAAUGCCGCGUGAGUGAGGAAGGCCUUAGGGUUGUAAAGCUCUUUCACCCGCGACGAUGAUGACGGUAGCGGGAGAAGAAGCCCCGGCUAACUUCGUGCCAGCAGCCGCGGUAAUACGAAGGGGGCGAGCGUUGUUCGGAUUUACUGGGCGUAAAGGGCGCGCAGGCGGCUACAUUUGUCAGGCGUGAAAGCCCCGGGCUUAACCUGGGAACUGCGUUUGAGACGGUGUGGCUAGAGUUCGGGAGAGGAGAGUGGAAUUCCCAGUGUAGAGGUGAAAUUCGUAGAUAUUGGGAAGAACACCGGUGGCGAAGGCGGCUCUCUGGACCGAGACUGACGCUGAGGCGCGAAAGCGUGGGGAGCAAACAGGAUUAGAUACCCUGGUAGUCCACGCUGUAAACGAUGUGUGCUAGACGUUGGGAGCCUAGCUCUUCGGUGUCGCAGCUAACGGCGGUAAGCACACCG